rnacentral:rRNA from 1 species
GAUGAUCGCUGGCGGCGUGCCUAAUACAUGCAAGUCGAACGAGGUGCUUUUGUAGCAAUACGAGAGUAUCCUAGUGGCGAACGGGUGAGUAACGCGUUGGUGACCUACCCCAAAGUGUGGGAUAACAGUCCGAAAGGAUUGCUAAUACCGCAUGUGGUCUUCGGAUUUAGAAACUGAUGACUAAAGGAGCAAUUCGCUUUGGGAGGGACCUGCGUCCCAUCAGCUGGUUGGUGAGGUAAUGGCUCACCAAGGCUACGACGGGUAGGGGACCUGAGAGGGUGACCCCCCACAAUGGAACUGAAACACGGUCCAUACACCUACGGGUGGCAGCAGUAGGGAAUAUUGCACAAUGGGCGAAAGCCUGAUGCAGCAACGCCGCGUGUGCGAUGAAGGCCUUGGGUCGUAAAGCACUUUUCUGGGAGAUGAGCAAGGACAGUAUCUCAGGAAUAAGUCUCGGCUAACUACGUGCCAGCAGCCGCGGUAA